rnacentral:rRNA from 1 species
GACGAACGCUGGCGGCGUGCUUAACACAUGCAAGUCGAACGGAAAGGCCCUGCGUUCGUGGGGUUCUCGAGUGCCGAACGGGUGAGUAACACGUGAGUAACCUGCCCUUGACUUUGGGAUAACUUCAGGAAACUGGGGCUAAGAUCGGAUAGCAGCUCCUGUUGCAUGGUGGGCGUGGGAAAGUUUCGGCGGUUGGGGAUGGACGGGCGGCUUACCAGCUUGUUGGUGGGGGAGUGGCUUACCAAGGCUUUGACCGGUAGCCGGCCUGGGAGGGUGGCCGGCCACAUUACGCCUGCGGGAGGGCCCAGACUGCAAUGGGAGGCAACAGUGGGGAGUAUUGCACAGUGAGCCGGAGCCUGAGGCGGAGGCGCCGCGUGCGGGAUGCCCGCCUUCGGGUUGUGAACAGCAUUCGCCUGAGACGAAGCGUGAGUGACGGUAAUGAAUAAAGAAGCACCGGCUAACUACGUG